GGGGCGGCGGCUACCAUGCAGUCGAGCGGAACGAGUUAUCUGAACCUUCGGGGGACGAUAACGGCGUCGAGCGGCGGACGGGUGAGUAAUGCCUAGGAAAUUGCCCUGAUGUGGGGGAUAACCAUUGGAAACGAUGGCUAAUACCGCAUGAUGCCUACGGGCCAAAGAGGGGGACCUUCGGGCCUCUCGCGUCAGGAUAUGCCUAGGUGGGAUUAGCUAGUUGGUGAGGUAAGGGCUCACCAAGGCGACGAUCCCUAGCUGGUCUGAGAGGAUGAUCAGCCACACUGGAACUGAGACACGGUCCAGACUCCUACGGGAGGCAGCAGUGGGGAAUAUUGCACAAUGGGCGCAAGCCUGAUGCAGCCAUGCCGCGUGUGUGAAGAAGGCCUUCGGGUUGUAAAGCACUUUCAGUCGUGAGGAAGGUGGUGUAGUUAAUAGCUGUAUUAUUUGACGUUAGCGACAGAAGAAGCACCGGCUAACUCCGUGCCAGCAGCCGCGGUAAUACGGAGGGUGCGAGCGUUAAUCGGAAUUACUGGGCGUAAAGCGCAUGCAGGUGGUUUGUUAAGUCAGAUGUGAAAGCCCGGGGCUCAACCUCGGAAUAGCAUUUGAAACUGGCAGACUAGAGUACUGUAGAGGGGGGUAGAAUUUCAGGUGUAGCGGUGAAAUGCGUAGAGAUCUGAAGGAAUACCGGUGGCGAAGGCGGCCCCCUGGACAGAUACUGACACUCAGAUGCGAAAGCGUGGGGAGCAAACAGGAUUAGAUACCCUGGUAGUCCACGCCGUAAACGAUGUCUACUUGGAGGUUGUGGCCUUGAGCCGUGGCUUUCGGAGCUAACGCGUUAAGUAGACCGCCUGGGGAGUACGGUCGCAAGAUUAAAACUCAAAUGAAUUGACGGGGGCCCGCACAAGCGGUGGAGCAUGUGGUUUAAUUCGAUGCAACGCGAAGAACCUUACCUACUCUUGACUUCCAGAGAACUUUCCAGAAAUGGAUUGGUGCCUUCGGGAACUCUGAAACAGGUGCUGCAUGGCUGUCGUCAGCUCGGGUUGUGAAAUGUUGGGUUAAGUCCCGAAACGAGGGAACCCUUAUUCUUGUUUGCA
rnacentral:rRNA from 1 species